CUGAAUCCAGCCAUGCCGCGUGUGUGAAGAAGGCCUUUUGGUUGUACAAGCACUUUAAGCGAGGAGGAGGCGCUCUAGGUUAAUACCUUAGAAGCGUGGACGUUACUCGCAGAAUAAGCACCGGCUAACUCUGUGCCAGCAGCCGCGGUAAUACAGAGGGUGCGAGCGUUAAUCGGAUUUACUGGGCGUAAAGCGUACGUAGGCGGCUUUUUNAAGUCGGAUGUGAAAUACCCCGAGCUUAACUUGGGAAUUGCAUUCGAUACUGGGAAGCUAGAGUAUGGGAGAGGAUGGUAGAAUANCCAGGUGUAGCGGUGA
rnacentral:rRNA from 1 species